rnacentral:rRNA from 1 species
AUUGAACGCUGGCGGCAGGCCUAACACAUGCAAGUCGAGCGGAUGAAGGGAGCUUGCUCCUGGAUUCAGCGGCGGACGGGUGAGUAAUGCCUAGGAAUCUGCCUGGUAGUGGGGGAUAACGUCCGGAAACGGGCGCUAAUACCGCAUACGUCCUGAGGGAGAAAGUGGGGGAUCUUCGGACCUCACGCUAUCAGAUGAGCCUAGGUCGGAUUAGCUAGUUGGUGGGGUAAAGGCCUACCAAGGCGACGAUCCGUAACUGGUCUGAGAGGAUGAUCAGUCACACUGGACCUGAGACAGGGUCCAGACUCCUACGGGAGGAAGCAGUGGGGAAUAUUGGACAAUGGGCGAAGGCCUGAUCCAGACAUGCGGCGGGUGUGAAGAAGGUCUUCGGAUGGUAAAGCACUUUAAGUUGGGAGGAAGGGCAGUAAGUUAAUACCUGCUGUUUUGACGUUACCAACAGAAUAAGCACCGGCUAACUUCGUG